rnacentral:rRNA from 1 species
GAGGCGAACCGGGGGAACUGAAACAUCUAAGUACCCCGAGGAAAAGAAAUCAACCGAGAUUCCGAAAGUAGCGGCGAGCGAAAUUGGACUAGCCCUUAAGCUUUACACGCGUUAGACGAACGGUCUGGAAAGUCCGACGAUACAGGGUGAUAGUCCCGUAGUUGACGACGUGUGUUCAGUGAAAUCGAGUAGGGCGGGACACGUGAUAUCCUGUCUGAAUAUGGGGGGACCAUCCUCCAAGGCUAAAUACUACUGACUGACCGAUAGUGAACCAGUACCGUGAGGGAAAGGCGAAAAGAACCCCUGUGAGGGGAGUGAAAUAGAACCUGAAACCGUGUACGUACAAGCAGUAGGAGCAGGCUUGUCCUGUGACUGCGUACCUUUUGUAUAAUGGGUCAGCGACUUAUAUUCAGUGGCAAGGUUAACCAUCUAGGGGAGCCGUAGGGAAACCGAGUCUUAACUGGGCGUUCAGUCUCUGGAUAUAGACCCGAAACCAGGUGAUCUAGCCAUGGGCAGGUUGAAGGUUGAGUAACAUCAACUGGAGGACCGAACCGACUAAUGUUGAAAAAUUAGCGGAUGACUUGUGGCUAGGGGUGAAAGGCCAAUCAAACCUGGAGAUAGCUGGUUCUCCCCGAAAGCUAUUUAGGUAGCGCCUCGGACGAAUACUACUGGGGGUAGAGCACUGUUAAGGCUAGGGGGUCAUCCCGACUUACCAACCCUUUGCAAACUCCGAAUACCAGUAAGUACUAUCCGGGAGACACACGGCGGGUGCUAACGUCCGUCGUGGAGAGGGAAACAACCCAGACCGCCAGCUAAGGUCCCAAAUUACUACUAAGUGGGAAACGAUGUGGGAAGGCUCAGACAGCCAGGAUGUUGGCUUAGAAGCAGCCAUCAUUUAAAGAAAGCGUAAUAGCUCACUGGUCGAGUCGGCCUGCGCGGAAGAUGUAACGGGGCUAAGUAGUAAACCGAAGCUGCGGCAAUAUACUUUUGUAUAUUGGGUAGGGGAGCGUUCUGUAAGCGGUUGAAGGUGUGUGGUAACGCAUGCUGGACGUAUCAGAAGUGCGAAUGCUGACAUGAGUAACGAUAAAGGGGGUGAAAAACCUCCUCGCCGGAAGACCAAGGGUUCCUGUCCAACGUUAAUCGGGGCAGGGUAAGUCGACCCCUAAGGCGAGGCCGAAAGGCGUAGUCGAUGGGAAACGGGUUAAUAUUCCCGUACUUCUUACAAUUGCGAUGGGGGGACGGAGAAGGCUAGGUGGGCCUGGCGACGGUUGUCCAGGUUCAAGUGCGUAGGCUUAAGAGUUAGGUAAAUCCGGCUCUUUCNNNNNNNNNNNNNNNNNNNNNNNNNNNNNNNNNNNNNNNNNNNNNNNNNNNNNNNNNNNNNNNNNNNNNNNNNNNNNNNNNNNNNNNNNNNNNNNNNUCUAAGGCUGAGACACGACGUCGAGCACCUACGGGUGUGAAGUCAUUGAUGCCAUGCUUCCAGGAAAAGCCUCUAAGCUUCAGAUUGUAAGGAAUCGUACCCCAAACCGACACAGGUGGUCGGGUAGAGAAUACCAAGGCGCUUGAGAGAACUCGGGUGAAGGAACUAGGCAAAAUGGUACCGUAACUUCGGGAGAAGGUACGCUCUUGAUGGUGAAGUCCCUCGCGGAUGGAGCUGACGAGAGUCGCAGAUACCAGGUGGCUGCAACUGUUUAUUAAAAACACAGCACUGUGCAAAAUCGUAAGAUGACGUAUACGGUGUGACGCCUGCCCGGUGCCGGAAGGUUAAUUGAUGGGGUUAGACUUCGGUCGAAGCUCUUGAUCGAAGCCCCGGUAAACGGCGGCCGUAACUAUAACGGUCCUAAGGUAGCGAAAUUCCUUGUCGGGUAAGUUCCGACCUGCACGAAUGGCGUAAUGAUGGCCACGCUGUCUCCACCCGAGACUCAGUGAAAUUGAAAUCGCUGUGAAGAUGCAGUGUACCCGCGGCUAGACGGAAAGACCCCGUGAACCUUUACUACAGCUUGGCACUGAACAUUGACCCUACAUGUGUAGGAUAGGUGGGAGGCUUUGAAGCACGUACGCCAGUAUGUGUGGAGCCGUCCUUGAAAUACCACCCUUGUAGUGUUGAUGUUCUAACGUCGACCCCUAAUCGGGGUUGCGGACAGUGCCUGGUGGGUAGUUUGACUGGGGCGGUCUCCUCCCAAAGAGUAACGGAGGAGCACGAAGGUGGGCUAAUCACGGUUGGACAUCGUGAGGUUAGUGCAAUGGCAUAAGCCCGCUUGACUGCGAGAAUGACAAUUCGAGCAGGUGCGAAAGCAGGUCAUAGUGAUCCGGUGGUUCUGAAUGGAAGGGCCAUCGCUCAACGGAUAAAAGGUACUCCGGGGAUAACAGGCUGAUACCGCCCAAGAGUUCAUAUCGACGGCGGUGUUUGGCACCUCGAUGUCGGCUCAUCACAUCCUGGGGCUGAAGUCGGUCCCAAGGGUAUGGCUGUUCGCCAUUUAAAGUGGUACGCGAGCUGGGUUUAGAACGUCGUGAGACAGUUCGGUCCCUAUCUGCCGUGGGCGUUGGAAGAUUGAAGGGGGCUGCUCCUAGUACGAGAGGACCGGAGUGGACGAACCUCUGGUGUUCGGGUUGUGUCGCCAGACGCAUUGCCCGGUAGCUAAGUUCGGAAUCGAUAACCGCUGAAAGCAUCUAAGCGGGAAGCGAGCCCUGAGAUGAGUCUUCCCUGAUACUUUAAGUAUCCUAAAGGGUUGUCGGAGACUACGACGUUGAUAGGUCAGGUGUGUAAGUGCUGUGAGGCAUUGAGCUAACUGAUACUAAUUGCCCGUGAGGCUUAACCAUACAACACCCAAGGGGUUU